GAUGAACGCUGGCGGCACGCCUAACACAUGCAAGUCGAACGAUUAGAGCCCCUUCGGGUGUGUAUGAAGUGGCGCGCAGCUGGGUAACACCUGGGCACCCUGCCCCUCUCAUUGGGCUAGCCACGGGAAACCGUGGAUAAUACCGAAUACUUCGGGACUUCCCCAUGGGAGACGCGAGAAAGCUCCGGCGGGGGGGUGUGUGGCCGCGGCCUGUUGGCUUGGUGGUGGGGUAAUGGCCUGCCAAGGCAAUGAGGGGUAGCUGGGUUGAGAGACCGCCCAGCCAGAUGGGGACGGAGACACGGCGCAGACGCCUACGGGAGGCAGCAGUGGGGAACCGUGCACAAUGGGCGAAAGCCUGAGGCAGCGACGCCGCGUGCGGGAGGAAGGCCUUCGGGUUGUAAACCGCGUUCAGCAGGGACGGGGCGAAAGUGACGGUACCUGAAGAAGAAGCCCCGGCUAACUCCGUG
rnacentral:rRNA from 1 species